AGUCACUGACAUUAGAUACCCGGGUAGUCCAGGGUGUAAACGCUGCAGACUUGGUGUUGGAGGCCCUUUGGGGGCAUUCAGUGCCGGAGAGAAGUUGUUAAGUCUGCUACUUGGGGAGUACGUCCGCAAGGAUGAAACUUAAAGGAAUUGGCGGGGAGCACCGCAACGGGAGGAGCGUGCGGUUUAAUUGGAUUCAACACCGUAAAACUCACCAGGGAAGACUGUUACAUGAAGGCCGAGAUGAAGACUCUGCUAGAUUUUCAG
rnacentral:rRNA from 1 species